GCAUCAGGUUACCUCGUGGAGCUCUGAUUGACUUCAUCCGAACUCUUGUUCUGGGGAUUCCUCGGUCGUCUUCCUGACAGAAAGUUAAGGUUCAGACUUUAAAGUGUGACGUUAAAGGCAGAACAUGACAGAAGAAGGUCGGAGCUGAAGGAAGCAGAAGCAGCAGAACCAUGGCGUGAGCUGGGCUGUGAUCGGGGGAUGUGACUGAUGUCUGAGGCGUUGCUACAUGAAGCUGUUGAUGAGCUGAAGGUGUGUAACGCUGACAGAGCUGAGAGCUGCAUCAGUAGGACCUCCGUCACCUCCACGCAGAGCGUCUCCAUCAGCACACCGUAGGAGUGAGAAUCAGUGAUGUUUAAAGCACUUUAAAGAAGGUCAAAAUUCUUAGUGCAAAGCUUGACAAUAAAUACUAAACAUGUCC